rnacentral:piRNA from 1 species
UGAGACUUUUUCUGAGCCCGUGAUUGAUAU